UCAUUAAUCCUUCCUUGUAUAAUGGGACGUUUCACCUUACAUUUAGUAUCUAACUAAACUAGAAAAUAAACAUUGGCUGCUGCAUAUAUGUCAGAUUACGUGCACAUAUGGUGUUUUCUUUUGAUAUUUCUCUGCCAGGAAAUUAGGUGUUGUCAAGGAAAUAAUCUUCUUGUCAACAAUUCCAUUUUUUUAAUAUUCACUUUAGAUAACUUUGUUAAGAAUUGGAGCAAUAUUUGGAGCUGAAUUGAUGUUUCAGGGCUACUAUCUUAUAGAUAUAGUACAAUCAAUUGGCUGGCUACUAUGUGAUGUUCUACUUGGUUUGAGGAGCUAUCUGGUUAUCUCUGUACAAGCAUGCUUAUAUCCUGAAUGAAUGUGAUGUUACAUUGAGUCGCUCAUUGAUUGUUGUAUUUUAGUUUUUUAGCUAUUAAGAUAGCCAUUCAAUUACAUUAACCUUUGUAGGUGCCAGAACCUGAAAUGGUGAAAUAUACUUCUAUCUAGUUAGAUUUUAUUAUUAUUGCAUAGUAAAAUGAAUUGUAGCCUCAAGAUUGUCUGCCUUCAUAAGAAAGAAAUACUUCUUUAAAUGAUCAUAUGGUGCAGUCCCAGCCUGCGUUUUGACUGCCUGUCUCAAAACUGUAGCCUCGUAUGGCCUAAGGUGAGCUAAAUGUUGAAUCCACCAAACCUUUUCAUAGUUUAGGUUCUGUAGUGUUUUUCAUCUAUGUUUUUGUGAGCUAAACGAUGUUAGUGUUUUAUAGUUCACUUGCAAUUCUUUUUGAAAAUCCAAGUUCCCUCAUCAUAUUUGAGCCAUCAAGGUAAAUCCAACAUGGAAUUUUUGAAUUUUUUAUUCUUAGUACGUGAUGCAAUAGUCGCUACGAAGAUAUAAUUCAUGCCAGCCAUUUAUUACUAAAAGCAGAAGAAUCCUACUUCUUGAAUUUAUAUUCCAAUAGUCUGCUUCAGUCACUACCAAGAUUUAACUUAUGUUUUGGCACACUCUUGACAGGCCCGUUGAGAAGGGUGUGCGAGCGGUGCGACCGCACAGGUCCCAAAAUCGUAGGGGCCCCGAUCGGUGAAAAAAACAUAUACGAUCCGGUUCAUGCGCUGGAUGGCUGGUUUUUUAGCUGGCUCGUGUUAUCCUAUCGCAACAAAACUGCAGACAGAUGCACCAGAAGCGGAAACUCAUUACGUUGAGGCCCCUAGUUCCACUAAUCGCAGCCAAUAGGGCCCAGCCGGAUGUACGAGAUCAAAUAGAUAUGUCUCUGUCUUGGGAGAAAACAACUUCACGAAUAGGGAGGCCCGUCUACCUGCUUCUAGGAACGGACGAGCCGCCGAUGGAUGGCGGAACGCCACGGCGAGUCCGCUGUACUGCCCUCCGUCGCCGGAUGUAUCCCUGCUGCGGCAGCCUCAUUUGGUCAUCCCCAAAUAUAUUCCUAGGCUUUUGAUGUCGUGGAUGGUAAAUGAGCAAAACAUACCAACUCAUUAUGUCCCAGAUUUAAGGCAUCCCUGUUUAGUGACUCCAUCCUGAUUCAGCUGGCUACAACACUUGAUCUGGCUGGAUGUCCACUAGAUUGUGGCUGCAGUGUGAAUUGUUUUCUUUCUUUUUUGGCUGUGAAUUCAUGCGUGGUUUGAUGGUAUGCCAUCUUCUCUGGACACAAUAGCUAAAAGCCCAUGGAAACAAAGCCAAGUGGUCAGUGGAAGUACUUUCUUGGAAGAAACAAAUGAAUCAUAGUUAUUUGCUUUC